UACGUAGGGUGCAAGCGUUGUCCGGAAUUAUUGGGCGUAAAGAGCUCGUAGGCGGCUUGUCGCGUCGGCUGUGAAAACCUGGGGCUCAACCCCGGGCCUGCAGUCGAUACGGCAAGCGUAGAAUUCGGUAGGGGAGACUGGAAUUCCUGGUGUAGCGGUGAAAUGCGCAGAUAUCAGGAAGAACACCCGUGGCUAAGGCGGCUCUCUAGUACGGUACUGACGCUGAGACGCGAAAGCGUGGGGAGCGAACAGG
rnacentral:rRNA from 1 species